rnacentral:rRNA from 1 species
UUUAUUGAGAGUUUGAUCCUGGCUCAGGACGAACGCUGGCGGCGUGCCUAACACAUGCAAGUCGAACGGACAUUACUCGGUAGUAAUAUUGGGUAAUUGUUAGUGGCGAACGGGUGAGUAAUGCGUGAGCAACCUGCCUUUCAGAGGGGGACAACAGUUGGAAACGACUGCUAAUACCGCAUAAUGUAUAUUUACGGCAUCGUAGAUAUACCAAAGGAGAAAUCCGCUGAAAGAUGGGCUCACGUCUGAUUAGUUAGAUGGUAGGGUAAUGGCCUACCAUGACUGCGAUCAGUAGCCGGUCUGAGAGGAUGAACGGCCACAUUGGGACUGAGAUACGGCCCAGACUCCUACGGGAGGCAGCAGUGGGGAAUAUUGGGCA